GCGCCCGUAGCUCAACGGAUAGAGCAUCUGACUACGGAUCAGAAGGUUUGGGGUUCGAAUCCCUACGGGCGCACAA
rnacentral:tRNA from 1 species